GUGAGGAAUAUUGCGCAAUGGAGGCAACUCUGACGCAGCCAUGCCGCGUGCAGGAAGAAGGCGCUACGCGUUGUAAACUGCUUUUAACCGGGAAGAAACCCCAGGACGUGUCCUGGGUUGACGGUACCGGAGGAAUAAGCACCGGCUAACUUCGUGCCAACAGCCGCGGUAAUACGAAGGGUGCAAGCGUUAUCCGGAUUCAUUGGGUUUAAAGGGUGCGUAGGCGGAGCGUUAAGUCAGUGGUGAAAUCCUGCAGCUUAACUGUAGACUUGCCAUUGAUACUGGCGCUCUUGAGUGCGCUUGAAGUGGGCGGAAUGUGCCGUGUAGCGGUGAAAUGCUUAGAUAUGGCACAGAACACCAAUUGCGAAGGCAGCUCACUAAGGCGAUACUGACGCUGAGGCACGAAAGCGUGGGGAUCGAACAGGAUUAGAAACCCCGGUAGUCC
rnacentral:rRNA from 1 species